rnacentral:rRNA from 1 species
GUGGGGAAUCUUGCGCAAUGGGCGAAAGCCUGACGCAGCCAUGCCGCGUGAAUGAUGAAGGUCUUAGGAUUGUAAAAUUCUUUCACCGGGGACGAUAAUGACGGUACCCGGAGAAGAAGCUCCGGCUAACUUCGUGCCAGCAGUCGCGGUAAUACGAAGGGGGCUAGCGUUGCUCGGAAUUACUGGGCGUAAAGGGCGCGUAGGCGGACAGCUUAGUCAGAGGUGAUAGCCCAGGGCUCAACCUUGGAAUUGCCUUUGAUACUGGCUGUCUUGAGUUUGGGAGAGGUGAGUGGAACUCCGAGUGUAGAGGUGAAAUUCGUAGAUAUUCGGAAGAACACCAGUGGCGAAGGCGACUCACUGGCCCGUUACUGACGCUGAGGCGCGAAAGCGUGGGGAGCAAACAGGAUUAGAAACCCGGGUAGUCC